rnacentral:rRNA from 1 species
GACGAACGCUGGCGGCGUGCUUAACACAUGCAAGUCGAACGAUGAACCGGAGCUUGCUCUGGGGAUUAGUGGCGAACGGGUGAGUAACACGUGGGCAACCUGCCCCAGACACCGGGAUAACCAUUCGAAAGGAUGGCUAAUACCGGAUACGACCACUUCGGGCAUCCGAUGGUGGUGGAAAGGUUUCUGGUCUGGGAUGGGCCCGCGGCCUAUCAGCUUGUUGGUGGGGUAAUGGCCUACCAAGGCGACGACGGGUAGCCGGCCUGAGAGGGCGACCGGCCACACUGGGACUGAGACACGGCCCAGACUCCUACGGGAGGCAGCAGUGGGGAAUAUUGCGCAAUGGGCGAAAGCCUGUCGCAGCGACGCCGCGUGAGGGACGAAGGUCUUCGGAUUGUAAACCUCUUUCAGCAGGGAUGAAGCGAAAGUGACAGUACCUGCAGAAGAAGCACCGGCUAACUACGUGCCAGCAGCCGCAGUAAAAC